rnacentral:lncRNA from 1 species
ACCACUUCUCCAUUACUCACUAGCUGGAUCUACCCUGCAACAAACCUCAGCUCCCUCUCCUACCAGCCAACAGGAUCUGGAUCUUAUCACAUGAAGUCCCCCUCGACCCAACCGCACUGUGAUCCAGUAGCCUCAUUGCUCCUUUUUCCACCCCACCGUCACCCCCCACCCCCAACAGAAAGUGAAAGAGUGCCUUCUCCAGACUUAAGGGACUCACACCUGAGUUCCUGUGCCCACUCUGAUCCCCGAGCCACCGUAUAAGAAGUCCAGCUACCCUGAGGCCGUGGACUGCAGCUGCACUCCAGUCUUUAAGCCCAGCUGUGCUCGGGUGUCUCACUUUCUACACCCCACCCUCAGCAUCAGAUAUACUCUAUCUCAGAAGCAAAAAGCCAUCCAUGAACAAAGACCUGGGACCAAGCCGACUCAUAAUACUAGUGGGAAACGGCCCCACCAGCAGCCCGCACCUGCAUCCUGCUCUCCCGCUGCCUCACUGGACCCUUGCAGUUAACUGGGACUUCAGCAGAGCAGAGCCUCAUCUUACGGAGGUCAAGUGUCCCACUGCUGCAGGGCCUUCAACCUGGAUCAUCCAGGUCUUCACAGGACUCCUCCCCCAGAAUGAUGCCUCCUUUGACAAUAGCUGGAGAUGUCAGAAAUGAGAUCAUUACUCAGCACUGGAUGCAGUGGUGCGUGUCUGUGUUCCCAGCUACUCAGGAGGCAGAGAUAGGAGGAUCACUCGAGCCCAGAAGGUGGAGGCUGCAGUUAACUUUAAUCUGCACCACUGCACUCCAGCCCAGUUGACAGAACAAGACACUGUUUCUUAAAGAAUAAUAAUAAUAAUAAAUUUAAGUCUGGAAAAUCUGUUAUAGCUAUCUGGUGAUGUAGGAAUAGGAGAGGUAUCCAUUGGUUCAGACUCUUCAGUUGACGCCUCCACUGUAGUUUCUGUAAUGACAUCUGGCCUCAUAGCAGCAUGGAUAAAUUCUGGAGUUGAUACACAGGAGGGACAAAUACUUCCACAGGACUUCUCGAAUCCCUCAAGCAGGAAUGGCUAAUUUCCCUGCAGCUGGUGUUGUGAGGAGCAUGCCUUGGCAAGUGCUGUGCUCAGCUGUGUUCCAGCCUCAGAUCACCCUGCAGGCACUGGUUCUGCUGGGCCCCUCUGCUGGCUCUCCAGGCCCCUCACCCACAGCCACCUGCUGAGCUUUGCUGGAAUGCUUUCACGUGCGUGAACCAGAUUCAGAGAUGCUGAGGGGAAGAAAGAUGGAGAAGGGACGCCUACAUUACAACUAUGACGACACGUGUUUGUAGGUAUCAAGGCAGGUCUGGGGAAGUUCUGUGCAGAUAUAUUUAACUUUGUCCUUGUAAUUUCAGGGUCCCUAGAUAAAAUGCUUAUAAGAGCCCAGGUCUCAGAGCCAGGGAGCUGGGAGGCCUGUGGUUCCUCUUCCAGAGCAGGCAGCUGGACUUGAACAAGGACAAGGAGCGCAGAAUGUUUUUCCUUAUGUGAGAACGAGAGAGUCCCUGGGAGCUCCCUGUGCCUCGGCUGGCUGGCUGACGUCCGACACACCAGAAAGAUCGCCAGAAAAGCGAUCUGAUGGGCCAACAGAGAGAGCAGGCCCACUUUCAAUGUUAGGGUUUCAAUGUUGAAACCAGAUGUCUCGAGGGCUCACACAUCCACAGAGCAUCCAGCGAUGUGUGUACACACACGGGGUGAUCUCCCAAGGCGCUUCCGUCCACUCACUCCGUGGCUGCCACAGAGGAAGAGCUGUCUGACCCCAACUCAAGAGCUCCUUAUUCUUUCUAUGUGCAAACAAAAUGAAGCAAGGCCCACCUUAGAAACAAAAGGUUUUCUCACAAUGAAAAUGUUGGAUUCUUCUUCCUCUCAGAAAUAAUGUCAUCUAAGGAAAAGUUCAUGAUAAGUUUGCUUUCUUCUUUUAAGGUAACUUUUGCAUACGAUGUUAAUUAAGUAAAAUAUUAGUUGAAUUUUGUGAAAAUAUCAUGAUUCAGUCACUUGCUUUGGUCUUUAGAAUAAGGAUGGAUGAAUAAAUAAAGAGAUAGAGGGAUUGAUGGGUGUGUGGAUGGGUGAAUGGAAGGAUGGGUAAAUAGAAGAAUAAACUGAUGGGUGGGUGGAAGAGUGGA